rnacentral:misc_RNA from 1 species
AGGUUUCAAGAGGUCAAACACUCUCUCUCUCGCUUGAAUCUCAACACUGUCUGCGAGGAAGCUCAAUGCCCCAACAUUGGUGACUGUUGGAAUGGGGGCGGCGACGGUAUUGCAACCGCUACUAUCAUGCUUCUCGGGGAUACAUGUACUCGUGGUUGCAGAUUUUGUGCCGUUAAAACCAGCAGAAAUCCUGCACCCCCUGAUCCUAUGGAGCCUCAAAACACUGCUCAGG